CCUAAAAAAAUUAAAGAGAAAACACAAUUUUCAAUUUUGAACUUUCAUUUAACAUAAAUUGUGUAUGGUAUUACAGAGUAAAGAUCUUAGACGUUUGUAAAAGUACAAAAAACAUGCAUGGUCUAACGCAGCUUGGAAAUGAUACAGACAAACCAGGAUUUUUCCAAGAUACAUUAAAAUAUUCCAAAAUUUCCCAUUUCAAACUUGAUGAAAAGAUGGUUUAAGGAUGAUUUCAUUUAACAUGAAUUUGGUAUAUAACAGAGGGUAAAGAUCAAAUUCAUAGACUUCUACUGGAAUGCGCGUGUUCCGUGAAAUUAGGAUCAAGUCCGGGUUCGAUUAACAUUAUAAAAGCGAUUAAAUUGUCUCAGAUUGGGCAGUUCAGGGACGGAUCACGCAAUUGAUGUAUGUGUGGAAAAGUCGCAUUUGAAUUAAACUCCUACUAAUUAUUUCACAGGAAGCAAGUUUGGAUGAGAAUCGCACAAGUUCAAACCCCACGAGUCAAACGCGUGGCUGCCCAGAUAAUUUACGAUGUUUGUCUUCUUGUUUAUGUAUUAUUAGCAAAUGUAGAUUAAGUUAUUAUGAUUUGAUUUCCGCAUGCGGCUUAAUAAUUAGAUACAUUUAGUGAGUCCUAAAUCACAUAUUUUUACUCUACUAACUUUACUUGUUAGUCAAUCUAUCGCUUCUAAUACUACAGUUUUUUAAGAACUGCCUGAUUAGUCAAAAUAAUCAGAUCUUUGCUUGUAUAAACUUGGGAGUCAAGAAGCCAACUGAUGGCAAACCGAAUGAGGGUAAUAAACUGCUUUAUAAAAAUAGCAAACAAUAAUAAAUUUCUCCCAAUGAA
rnacentral:lncRNA from 1 species